ensembl:snoRNA
UGGGCCCUGAAUCAAGGCCAUCGGUUUGCUGUAGCCGUUGGUUUCAAGCAGGAGCCCAGAGGAAUGCCUUCCCAUGGUCUGUUGGCUGUUCCAGAGCCUCUGACAGGGAACAGCCAAUUCAGUUGGAAGCAACAAGC